rnacentral:snRNA from 1 species
AUACUCACCUGGACGGGGUCAAUGGGCGAUCAUGAAUGCCCAUGGCCUAGGUUGGUGACCUUCAUUGCACUUUGGAGGGGUGCCUGCCUAAGGUCGAUCUAAGUGGUUGAGCCUACAUCAUAAUUUGUGGCAGCGGGGACCUGCAUUCGCGCGGCCCCUAC